rnacentral:rRNA from 1 species
UACGGAGGAUGCAAGCGUUAUCCGGAUUUAUUGGGUAUAAAGGGUGCGCAGGUUGUUUGAUAAGUCAGUGGUGAAAGUCUGUCGCUUAACGGUGGGAUUGCCAUUGAUACUGUUAGACUUGAAUAUGGAUGAGGUAGGCGGAAUGUGUAGUGUAGCGGUGAAAUGCAUAGAUAUUACACAGAACACCGAUUGCGAAGGCAGCUUACUAAUCCAUCAUUGACGCUGAGGCACGAAAGCGUGGGGAUCAAA